rnacentral:rRNA from 1 species
CACGUAGGGUGCGAGCGUUGUCCGGAAUUAUUGGGCGCAAAGAGCUCGUAGGCGGUGUGUCGCGUCGGCCGUGAAAACCUGCAGCUUAACUGUGGGCUUGCGGUCGAUACGGGCAUCACUGGAGUUCGGCAGGGGAGACUGGAAUUCCUGGUGUAGCGGUGAAAUGCGCAGAUAUCAGGAGGAACACCGGUGGCGAAGGCGGGUCUCUGGGCCGAUACUGACGCUGAGGAGCGAAAGCGUGGGGAGCGAACAGG